UCGUCAUCUCCCCCUUCUUCACCUGAGAAGUCUUCGUCGUUUGCAUCAUCGUCGUCAUCUCCCCCUUCUUCACCUGAGAAGUCUUCGUCGUUUGCAUCAUCGUCGUCAUCCUGAUCCUCAGCAUCUCCAUCAUCGUCGUCAUUAUCAUCCUCUGUAUCGCUGCCAUCUUUGUUCUCGGUACAAGCUUGGUUCUUUUGACUAAGCGCCUCAAAGGGAAACCUUCUAUCGGGGCUUAUCAGCUCCGAUAAUGGAGCAAUGCUUACAAACUUUGACGAUGGAGCAAUGGUUGCCAACUCUGACAAUGGAGCACCAUCCUUCAGCAAACAUCCCACCACCAUGAGCAGAGAAGCAACAGAUCUCUGAGUAACCAAAAGGGUCUCAGCAACAACAGCUUCAAGAACAGAGUUCACCACUAUUUUCCCAAAAGCUGCUACAUCAGAGCUGAAACUUUUUACCUCCAUUUUCCCUUAUAAAAAACCCAAAUUUUCCUCUGUUUUUCAAGAAAAGAGAAACAAGAGUUAAAGUACAACAAAAAUUAAUUUUGAAAAGAGUUAAAGUUGAAAGAUUUGGAAGAGAGAUGAAGAGAAAGUUUUCUGGGUUAGGGUUGGCUUUG
rnacentral:misc_RNA from 1 species